CUCUGGCUUACUUACUCUGGCCCUGCAAAACUGGGGUUAAGGGAAUGGGGUGAGCUACAAGAGCCCAGUGAGUAGAAAUUAAAAACAUUUGCUUUAGUUCCUCCAUUUUUAGGUAUAUUAUUAUCUAUUUUAUUGUUCCACCCUUUUUAUGUAUUUUAUUAUAAAGACAUUUUAUUAUUCAUUAUUUAUUUUUAUUCUCUUUUAUUUCAUGCUUUCAUGAAAUGCGUCAUAACACAGAGAAAUCACAUACUUUUUCCGUCUCGGGGUUCACACAAGCAUACAUCCCCACGGAACCUGGUUUCUGAGAGUCCUCGUAAAAUGCUAGCAUCUUUCCUCUCAGAGGAUGGACAUGACCUCAAAAAUACCCUCUGUCGGUGCCCGGCUCCCCAAAGAAGCUCACACAGGCCAUACACAUACACAACAGGGUACCUAGUCCACAGAGAGCUCACAAGGACUUUCCUACAUGUACUUGUCCGGCUCCCAAAGGACUUACCCAAGACUCAGUGACAGAUAUGGGCUAUUGAAGUCGCCUUGGUCCACCCUUUCUGAAACAACAUGAAAUAAUGCAAUGCGUCACCUUCGUGAAACUAGUGCAAUCAUCCUAUCACAUAUAAACAUGAUGCAUGCAUAUGCUUUAGGCAUUUGAAUUCUUUAAAAUAAAAGAUGCAUUAAACAUUGGAUUUUCUUAAAGUAAAAGAUUGAGUUAGUUCUACUCACCUGAAGCCACUGCUCAACAAACUCAGGGUCAACUAGCACUGAAGCUAGACACCUCUCCUCAGGUCCAAUCCUACACAGAUGGACUCACAUGAGGUACUAAACACAUGCUAACAACUCAUAAGCAACUCCCCAAAAAUCCCUCUAAACAUCACUAAAACAUGCAUAGGAAACACCCAAGAAACGGCUGGACAGGGCACUUUCGGCGGCACCUUCGGCGGCCGAAAGUCCCUUCCAGAAACGAAACUCGGGUAAGUUCGGCGGCAGGUUCGGCGGCCGAAACCCCUGGACAGAAACGAAAGUCCCUCCUUCGGGGGCACAUUCGGCAGCCUAAAGACUGCCUCCCAUGCAGGUUCGGCGGCCGAAACUCCUUUCGGCGGCCGAACCUGGUCCCCUCUGGACGACAGGUCCGAUUCUGCCAAGCCAAAAACCAAACUCAAAACACCCCAAAUCCUUACAUACUCUCUCCCAAACAUUCAUACUCACUUCCACAUGCAUAAAGGAGCAUAAACUAACAUAAACUCCUCAACACAAACAUCACAUAACAUACAUUGGGUAUAAAACCCACAUAAACCUUAAACAUACAUUUCUACCCAAACUCAACCAUCAAACUCUAUAAAACUUACUUCAAACUUUAUCAAAACACUAGGGAAGCCAAGAUCUACACUUACCUCUUGAAGAUCGAGGGUUGGUGCGAUCCCUAACUCGGAGGUGUGGAGAAUCCAAGCUCCAAAAGCUCCAAGCUCUCAAAACUUCUAUUUUAGCUUCAAAACU
rnacentral:lncRNA from 1 species